GGGUUGUGAGGUUAAGCGACUAAGCGUACACGGUGGAUGCCCUGGCAGUCAGAGGCGAUGAAGGACGUGCUAAUCUGCGAAAAGCGACGGCGAGGUGAUAUGAACCUUUGACCCGUCGAUGUCCGAAUGGGGAAACCCAGUGUGUUUCGACACACUAUCGUUAACUGAAUACAUAGGUUAACGAGGCGAACCGGGGGAACUGAAACAUCUAAGUACCCCGAGGAAAAGAAAUCAACCGAGAUUCCCCCAGUAGCGGCGAGCGAACGGGGAGCAGCCCGGAGUCUGAAUCAGCUUGUGUGUUAGUGGAAGCGUCUGGAAAGUCGCACGGUACAGGGUGACAGUCCCGUACACGAAAAUGCACAGGUUGUGAACUCGAAGAGUAGGGCGGGACACGUGGUAUCCUGUCUGAAUAUGGGGGGACCAUCCUCCAAGGCUAAAUACUCCUGACUGACCGAUAGUGAACCAGUACCGUGAGGGAAAGGCGAAAAGAACCCCGGCGAGGGGAGUGAAAAAGAACCUGAAACCGUGUACGUACAAGCAGUGGGAGCACCUUCGUGGUGUGACUGCGUACCUUUUGUAUAAUGGGUCAGCGACUUAUAUUCUGUAGCAAGGUUAACCGUAUAGGGGAGCCGCAGGGAAACCGAGUCUUAACUGGGCGUUAAGUUGCAGGGUAUAGACCCGAAACCCGGUGAUCUAGCCAUGGGCAGGUUGAAGGUUGGGUAACACUAACUGGAGGACCGAACCGACUAAUGUUGAAAAAUUAGCGGAUGACCUGUGGCUGGGGGUGAAAGGCCAAUCAAACCGGGAGAUAGCUGGUUCUCCCCGAAAGCUAUUUAGGUAGCGCCUCGUGAACUCAUCUUCGGGGGUAGAGCACUGUUUCGGCUAGGGGGCCAUCCCGGCUUACCAACCCGAUGCAAACUACGAAUACCGAAGAAUGUUAUCACGGGAGACACACGGCGGGUGCUAACGUCCGUCGUGAAGAGGGAAACAACCCAGACCGCCAGCUAAGGUCCCAAAGUCAUGGUUAAGUGGGAAACGAUGUGGGAAGGCACAGACAGCCAGGAUGUUGGCUUAGAAGCAGCCAUCAUUUAAAGAAAGCGUAAUAGCUCACUGGUCGAGUCGGCCUGCGCGGAAGAUGUAACGGGGCUAAACCAUGCACCGAAGCUGCGGCAGCGACACUAUGUGUUGUUGGGUAGGGGAGCGUUCUGUAAGCCGUUGAAGGUGUGCUGUGAGGCAUGCUGGAGGUAUCAGAAGUGCGAAUGCUGACAUAAGUAACGAUAAAGCGGGUGAAAAGCCCGCUCGCCGGAAGACCAAGGGUUCCUGUCCAACGUUAAUCGGGGCAGGGUGAGUCGACCCCUAAGGCGAGGCCGAAAGGCGUAGUCGAUGGGAAACAGGUUAAUAUUCCUGUACUUGGUGUUACUGCGAAGGGGGGACGGAGAAGGCUAUGUCAGCCGGGCGACGGUUGUCCCGGUUUAAGCGUGUAGGUGUGUGUUCCAGGCAAAUCCGGUUCACUUUAACACUGAGGCGUGAUGACGAGGCACUACGGUGCUGAAGUGAUAAAUGCCCUGCUUCCAGGAAAAGCCUCUAAGCAUCAGGUAACACGAAAUCGUACCCCAAACCGACACAGGUGGUCAGGUAGAGAAUACCAAGGCGCUUGAGAGAACUCGGGUGAAGGAACUAGGCAAAAUGGUGCCGUAACUUCGGGAGAAGGCACGCUGAUAUGUAGGUGAAGUCCCUGCGGACGGAGCUGAAAUCAGUCGAAGAUACCAGCUGGCUGCAACUGUUUAUUAAAAACACAGCACUGUGCAAACACGAAAGUGGACGUAUACGGUGUGACGCCUGCCCGGUGCCGGAAGGUUAAUUGAUGGGGUUAGCGGCAACGCGAAGCUCUUGAUCGAAGCCCCGGUAAACGGCGGCCGUAACUAUAACGGUCCUAAGGUAGCGAAAUUCCUUGUCGGGUAAGUUCCGACCUGCACGAAUGGCGUAAUGAUGGCCAGGCUGUCUCCACCCGAGACUCAGUGAAAUUGAACUCGCUGUGAAGAUGCAGUGUACCCGCGGCAAGACGGAAAGACCCCGUGAACCUUUACUAUAGCUUGACACUGAACACUGGUCCUUGAUGUGUAGGAUAGGUGGGAGGCUUUGAAGCGUGGACGCCAGUCUGCGUGGAGCCGUCCUUGAAAUACCACCCUUUAAUGGCUGGUGUUCUAACGUGGACCCGUGAUCCGGGUUGCGGACAGUGUCUGGUGGGUAGUUUGACUGGGGCGGUCUCCUCCCAAAGAGUAACGGAGGAGCACGAAGGUUAGCUAAUCCUGGUCGGACAUCAGGAGGUUAGUGCAAUGGCAUAAGCUAGCUUGACUGCGAGAGUGACGGCUCGAGCAGGUGCGAAAGCAGGUCAUAGUGAUCCGGUGGUUCUGAAUGGAAGGGCCAUCGCUCAACGGAUAAAAGGUACUCCGGGGAUAACAGGCUGAUACCGCCCAAGAGUUCAUAUCGACGGCGGUGUUUGGCACCUCGAUGUCGGCUCAUCACAUCCUGGGGCUGAAGUAGGUCCCAAGGGUAUGGCUGUUCGCCAUUUAAAGUGGUACGCGAGCUGGGUUUAGAACGUCGUGAGACAGUUCGGUCCCUAUCUGCCGUGGGCGCUGGAGAAUUGAGGGGGGCUGCUCCUAGUACGAGAGGACCGGAGUGGACGCAUCACUGGUGUUCGGGUUGUCAUGCCAAUGGCACUGCCCGGUAGCUAAAUGCGGAAGAGAUAAGUGCUGAAAGCAUCUAAGCACGAAACUUGCCCCGAGAUGAGUUCUCCCUGAGACUUUAAGUCUCCUGAAGGAACGUUGAAGACGACGACGUUGAUAGGCCGGGUGUGUAAGCGCAGCGAUGCGUUGAGCUAACCGGUACUAAUGAACCGUGAGGCUUAACCUUACAACGCCGAAG
rnacentral:rRNA from 1 species